rnacentral:rRNA from 1 species
GAUGAACGCUGGCGGCGUGCUUAACACAUGCAAGUCGAACGGUGAACACGGAGCUUGCUCUGUGGGAUCAGUGGCGAACGGGUGAGUAACACGUGAGCAACCUGCCCCUGACUCUGGGAUAAGCGCUGGAAACGGCGUCUACUACUGGAUAUGUGACGUGACCGCAUGGUCUGCGUUUGGAAAGAUUUUUCGGUCGGGGAUGGGCUCGCGGCCUAUCAGCUUGUUGGUGAGGUAAUGGCUCACCAAGGCGUCGACGGGGAGCCGGCCUGAGGGGGUGACCGGCCACCCUGGGACGGAGACACGGACCAGACUCCUACGGGAGGCAGCAGUGGGGAAUAUUGCACAAUGGGCGCAAGCCUGAUGCAGCAACGCAGCGUGAGGGAUGACGGCCUUCGGGUUGUAAACCUCUUUUAGCAGGGAAGAAGCGAAAGGGACGGUACAUGCAGAAAAAGCGCCGGCUAACUACGUG